AGCGAACGCUGGGGGCAGGCCUAACACAUGCAAGUCGAACGAAGUCUUCGGACUUAGUGGCGGACGGGUGAGUAACACGUGGGAACGUACCUUUUGGUUCGGAACAACUCAGGGAAACUUGAGCUAAUACCGGAUGAGCCCUGAGGGGGAAAGAUUUAUCGCCGAAAGAGCGGCCCGCGGUAGAUUAGCUAGUUGGUGAGGUAAAGGCUCACCAAGGCUACGAUGUAUAGCUGGUCUGAGAGGAAGAUCAGCCACACUGGGACUGAGACACAGCACAGAUUCCUACGGGAGGCAGCAGUGGGGAAUCUUGGGCAAUGGGCGAAAGCCUGAAGCAGCCAUGCCGCGUGAAUGAUGAAGGUCUUAGGAUUGUAAAAUUCUUUUACCAGGGACGAUAAUGACGGUACCUGGAGAAAAAGCCCCGGCUAACUUCGUGCCAGCAGCCGCCGUAAAAC
rnacentral:rRNA from 1 species